rnacentral:rRNA from 1 species
GUGCUGUGAGCUCGAUGAGUAGGGCGGGACACGUGGUAUCCUGUCUGAAUAUGGGGGGACCAUCCUCCAAGGCUAAAUACUCCUGACUGACCGAUAGUGAACCAGUACCGUGAGGGAAAGGCGAAAAGAACCCCGGCGAGGGGAGUGAAAAAGAACCUGAAACCGUGUACGUACAAGCAGUGGGAGCCC